ACGACACUGACUGGGCGACUGAACGAGA
rnacentral:sRNA from 1 species